rnacentral:misc_RNA from 1 species
AUUCAGAAGCGUUUGUCUGGGAUGAAGGAUCGUACGCGUUAGGAACGUUAGGAAAUUCUCAUUUGACUGUUACAGGUAAAAGAUGCGCCCUCGGAAUCGUCAGAGAUGCACACAUUUAGCAAGGAGAAACGCCAUCCAGCAGUAUGCGGGACGAAGAAAGAAGAUGAGAAACGUAGACGAUAAAUCAGACGAGAAAACAAAAUGGAUAAAGAUAAUUGAGAACAUUUAUUACAAGUAACAACUGCUGGCAACGAUCAGGUCCGUUUUAGAAUCAUAGAAAAUAUCAAUUUUGUUAUCAAGCUCGUCGACCGACAUACGCAUUCGAUUAACAGGAUUAAAUUUACCGUAAGAGGCACGCUGUUGUACAAAAAGCGUAAAUGGAAGGCCCGCGAGGAGCAUAGAUUUUAAAACAUUCGAGCACUGCCGCACGAUUUAUGCCACCAAUAAAGACAUUAAGAAAAAAGCAAGAUGUCGCA